GGGGAAUAUUGGACAAUGGGCGCAAGCCUGAUCCAGCCAUGCCGCGUGUGUGAAGAAGGCCUUAUGGUUGUAAAGCACUUUAAGCGAGGAGGAGGCUACUUUAGAUAAUACCUAGAGAUAGUGGACGUUACUCGCAGAAUAAGCACCGGCUAACUCUGUGCCAGCAGCCGCGGUAAUACAGAGGGUGCAAGCGUUAAUCGGAUUUACUGGGCGUAAAGCGCGCGUAGGCGGCUAAUUAAGUCAAAUGUGAAAUCCCCGAGCUUAACUUGGGAAUUGCAUUCGAUACUGGUUAGCUAGAGUGUGGGAGAGGAUGGUAGAAUUCCAGGUGUAGCGGUGAAAUGCGUAGAGAUCUGGAGGAAUACCGAUGGCGAAGGCAGCCAUCUGGCCUAACACUGACGCUGAGGUGCGAAAGCAUGGGGAGCAAAC
rnacentral:rRNA from 1 species